rnacentral:rRNA from 1 species
ACGCUCGACACCUACGGGAGCAGCAGUGAGGAAUAUUGGUCAAUGGGCGCUAGCCUGAACCAGCCAAGUAGCGUGAAGGAUGAAGGCUCUAUGGGUCGUAAACUUCUUUUAUAUAAGAAUAAAGUGCAGUAUGUAUACUGUUUUGUAUGUAUUAUAUGAAUAAGGAUCGGCUAACUCCGUGCCAGCACGCCGACGGUAAUCUGAGGCCGGGCGUGGACGAAGGC